GGGCAAUUAGCUCAGUUGGUCAGAGCGCACGGUUCACAUCCGUGAGGUCACAGGUUCGAGCCCUGUAUUGCCCA
rnacentral:tRNA from 1 species